CAUUUUGAAAAAGCCAGAUGCUUAAGAACUAUAUAACCUUCCAUGCUUCUGAAAUAAAUGUCUCCCAAGGGUCUGCAUAAAUAAGCUAUUGGCUGAUAUACUAAUGCAUAUAUUCAACUAUAUUUGGGAUUGCUAUUCAGCAAGGAUGCAUUAGUAUGGCCAAGAUUGGUAAAUAACCCUGAAUCCUUUUCCUAUCCUUUCUGCUGUGAACUCUCCCUCAUAAUUCUCUGCUCAUCAUCACCGUCCAGCAAUCAAGAUGAACUCUGGCACAGCAGGGGGCUUCAAGAUCUGCUCCAACACUCUGGAGAUGCUCUUUCUGAUGGGCUCGACCAAGAUGGCACAAAAGGAAGAGGAAGCCAGCAGAUGGGGAGGUCAGAACAGGAAGACUGCAAUACUCUGAAACGAGUAUGACUAUUUAACAAGGAUUAAGACGUAAACAUCAGGUCAUGAUUUCUCUUUAGGGGAAGAUAUAACAUCUUCUUUCAUAACGACACAUUUUCUUCUUCUGGUAGUAGUAUGUUCUGGCUCUCUUCCCUUUAAUGCCCACAAAAAUUUUGCACAGAAAGCAGUAGAGAGAUAUAAGUGAUAUUUUUAUCUGUUUUUGUUUCGAAUCUAUAAUUAAGAACUACUUUAUGCUAGAGAAACAUCAGAUAUAAAUGAAAUAAAUACCUAAGUUUCAUAUUCUUUUAUCAAAUAUCGAAGGACCGUGGAGGAAAUUCAUGUUCUAGGGAAUCAGGAAUUAAUCUGCAUUAUCCUGAAUAUAAUAAGUGGAAUUAUAGGGCAAAAUUAAUAUAAAGUAAAUAGAUAAAUAUUUUUGAAACCAUUAACAUCUGUGGUUUAGCAAUAGCAUUUGACAAUGUUUAAAUAGCUAACAAAGAAGGAGUUUAAUUUGCCUAAAAAAUACUAUUUAACCAAAAUGAUUAAUGCGAUUUCUGGUUUCUGGGCAAUUUUCAAAUGUAAUGUCAGAAAAGAAGAUAAGAUUAUUAGAUAGUAAGAAACUGAUUUCCCCAAAUUCAUAAAAACUUUGUAAGGUCAGAUUCAUAUUAUUAUAGACUCUCAAACAGUACAAAUUUCUAUCAGGUGUAGGCUAUUACUUCAAUUCUAUGAAUUGAGGCAAAAUUUGCUGCUUUCCUAGAGAAAGAGAUACAGUAUUUGUAUUUUCAGUAACAAGUCACAGUAACCAAAAUCUUAUGUUUCUAUGGAAGCAGAAACUUUCAAUUGAUAGGUACUGAAAAAUAAAAACUGCAUGAUUGUGU
rnacentral:lncRNA from 1 species